UGCAUAUGUAGCUCAGCUGGUAGAGCAUGAGGCUCUCAAUUUCAGGGCUAUGAGUUCAAGCCCAUUCCUGCAUUGCAA